CCAGAACUGGGUGGUGAGGGAGACGCUAACGUGGAGGAGGUGAUGGAGGGGGUCAUGUAGCCCCUCCCGACACUGUCCCGUCCUCCCAGUGAGGAGGGUGGAAGAGGUGGGGCAUCGAGGGCCACGCUGCUGACCCGGCUCUCAAUCUCCUCUGCCCUCAGCUCUGUGCUCUCCUUCUCCUCCUGAAUCAGUCUGAGAGGGGAGGAAAAGAAAAGAGAAGGAAAAAGAAGAAAAGACAAUUUGUAAAUGGUUUUGGGCUUAAAAUUCUAUUAUCUCAGGCUCUUGGAUCUUUUAAUCAUUUUGUUCACGGUGACACAAAAAGGCACAGACAUAGAACUUACUUGAUCUCCUUGUUUAUGGCCUCUAGUUGCUCCUGCAGCAUGAUCGCCAAAGUCUGUACAUCUGUCUGUCCGCUGGGAGAGAGAAGCUCCGAUCCGAACAGCGUCUCCCUGUCCUCCUCGUCAUCAGAGCAGCCUCCCUCCACACCGCCCUCAAAACCAGGACCCAGCAUAGUGCCGCUGUCCCACUCUCCAUACUGGAAAGAGGGAAAAAUGGAGGCCCCCACCGGCCGCGGUGCGCCCGCCUGACCACCACCCCACUAGAGGAGCUGCCAUAACCAGCCGGGAGCGAGCCUCCACCCUGAGGGUACCGCAGCUCUGAGGCGCUCCCUGGAAGAGAUCUUCGAAAAAGGGUGGAGGGAAGUGAGCUCACGCUGCCCGCCCUAUGAUUCACUGUGGCUAACCUGGAAUACGAAGAGCCAGGCCUGCCUCUCAGCUGAUCCAGCUCCAGUUGGACUCUCUCCAGCUCAGCAAGCAGCUGCUCCUAAAGUACAGAGGAGAGAGUGCUGCCAUCCUCUCUUUGAGGUGGAGCUGCAGUCUCUCAUUGGACUCCGACAGAAGCUUGUCCACUGUAUCUGAGAGACGUUUGUUGUGUUCGUCAUUCAUCUUCUCCCUCUGCCUCGCCUAAAAUCAAGCAAGGCCACAAGAAAAGUGCUCAAGGGACUCCUUGCUGGCCAGCUCAUUUUCCAGCUUGUCUUUGAUAUCAUGGAGAGAAGUCGCCUCCCUCUGGGCGCUGAGGUACCUGCAUGCAACACGAAGCCACCAUCAAAUG